GCAUUUUACAAAAUGUUUUCCAUUAUUUAGUUGAUUGGUUUAGUUGAUCUCCCCAGCCGCCCAAAAGAAUCAGAUAAAAUCCAUUUAACUUCAAUUUGUGCUCCAAAAGGAUGGAAGAGGCAGAGAGUAUCUGUUCGGGGACAUUUUAAAUAGAAAUGGAAGGAAACUCUCUUGCCAAUCCAUUUCACUGAUGCUCCAGCGCUGACACUGAUACAAUCGCCAUGUGCAUUUGGGUCCCGUCUCCUUUUUUGUCGCUCUCUGAAUAAUUCAAUUCAAUUUCCUAAGCUCAUAAAUAAGCCGCAGUCCAGACAGACCUACAGACAGACUUUACUUGUUAUUGGAAUUGUUAUGACAGGCCCACAGCCCAUGUCUAUUUAUUUGCAUGCGCACACAAAGGCCAUUUAAAAUUAUAUGUAUGUCCGCCAAACAGAUGCGAGUACGUCUCCAGAAAUCCCUUCGAUUGUCAAAAAACCGAGAUGGGAAUCAAUUCAAUAAAAAGAUUAAAUGAUUUUCCAAUGUCUGCGAUGUCCCCACCACGAUGAUGCCCAUCGCUGGUCUCACUUAAAAGGAUUAACAUUUCAUGCACUGCUCCAAGGGCGCUGCUAUUAAAGUAAUAUGGUUAAAUUCUGAGUUAGGGUAUUUUCCAUAAUUCAUGCAAGGGACUAUAAGGGCUGCUGAGUACUCCCUUUGCUCCCCACACACACAUGCAUUUGUA
rnacentral:lncRNA from 1 species